UACGAAGGGGGCUAGCGUUGUUCGGAAUUACUGGGCGUAAAGCGCGCGCAGGCGGUCUUCCAAGUCAGUGGUGAAAGCCCGGAGCUCAACUCCGGAAUUGCCAUUGAAACUGUUAGACUUGAGGAUGAGAGAGGUGAGUGGAAUUCCCAGUGUAGAGGUGAAAUUCGUAGAUAUUGGGAAGAACACCGGUGGCGAAGGCGGCUCACUGGACCAUUACUGACGCUGAUGCUCGAAAGCUAGGGGAGCAAACAGG
rnacentral:rRNA from 1 species